rnacentral:rRNA from 1 species
AGAGUUUGAUCAUGGCUCAGAGCGAACGCUGGCGGCAGGCUUAACACAUGCAAGUCGAGCGGGCGUAGCAAUACGUCAGCGGCAGACGGGUGAGUAACGCGUGGGAACGUACCUUUUGGUUCGGAACAACACAGGGAAACUUGUGCUAAUACCGGAUAAGCCCUUACGGGGAAAGAUUUAUCGCCGAAAGAUCGGCCCGCGUCUGAUUAGCUAGUUGGUGAGGUAACGGCUCACCAAGGCGACGAUCAGUAGCUGGUCUGAGAGGAUGAUCAGCCACAUUGGGACUGAGACACGGCCCAAACUCCUACGGGAGGCAGCAGUGGGGAAUAUUGGACAAUGGGCGCAAGCCUGAUCCAGCCAUGCCGCGUGAGUGAUGAAGGCCCUAGGGUUGUAAAGCUCUUUUGUGCGGGAAGAUAAUGACGGUACCGCAAGAAUAAGCCCCGGCUAACUUCGUGCCAGCAGCCGCGGUAAUACGAAGGGGGCUAGCGUUGCUCGGAAUCACUGGGCGUAAAGGGUGCGUAGGCGGGUCUUUAAGUCAGGGGUGAAAUCCUGGAGCUCAACUCCAGAACUGCCUUUGAUACUGAGGAUCUUGAGUUCGGGGAGAGGUGAGUGGAACUGCGAGUGUAGAGGUGAAAUUCGUAGAUAUUCGCAAGAACACCAGUGGCGAAGGCGGCUCACUGGCCCGAUACUGACGCUGAGGCACGAAAGCGUGGGGAGCAAACAGGAUUAGAUACCCUAGUAGUCC